UACGUAGGGUGCAAGCGUUGUCCGGAAUUAUUGGGCGUAAAAGAGCUCGUAGGCGGUUUUGUUGCGUCGGCUGUGAAAAUCCCGAGGCUCAACCUCGGGUCUGCAGUCGAUACGAGCAAACUAGAGUGUUGCAGGGGAGACUGGAAUUCCUGGUGUAGCGGUGAAAUGCGCAGAUAUCAGGAGGAACACCGGUGGCGAAGGCGGGUCUCUGGGCAGUAAACUGACGCUGGAGGAGCG
rnacentral:rRNA from 1 species